UACGGAGGGUGCGAGCGUUGUCCGGAAUCACUGGGCUUAAAGCGCGCGUAGGCGGACGGGUAAGUACCUUGUGAAAUCCCACGGCUCAACCGUGGAACGGCUGGGUAUACUGCCCGUCUUGAGGCACUCAGGGGCGAGCGGAACAAAUGGUGGAGCGGUGAAAUGCGUAGAUAUCAUUUGGAACGCCGACGGUGAAAACAGCUCGCUGGGGGUGUCCUGACGCUGAGGCGCGAAAGCCAGGGGAGCGAACGGG
rnacentral:rRNA from 1 species